rnacentral:rRNA from 1 species
UGGGGAAUAUUGGACAAUGGGCGCAAGCCUGAUCCAGCCAUGCCGCGUGAGUGAUGAAGGCCCUAGGGUUGUAAAGCUCUUUCACCGGUGAAGAUAAUGACGGUAACCGGAGAAGAAGCCCCGGCUAACUUCGUGCCAGCAGCCGCGGUAAUACGAAGGGGGCUAGCGUUGUUCGGAUUUACUGGGCGUAAAGCGCACGUAGGCGGACUAUUAAGUCAGGGGUGAAAUCCCGGGGCUCAACCCCGGAACUGCCUUUGAUACUGGUAGUCUUGAGUGCGAGAGAGGUGAGUGGAAUUCCGAGUGUAGAGUUGAAAUUCGUAGAUAUUCGGAGGAACACCAGUGGCGAAGGCGGCUCACUGGCUCGAUACUGACGCUGAGGUGCGAAAGCGUGGGGAGCAAACAGG